UUGUUUUAAAAAAAGGUGCCCAUGGUCUUUCAUAGCUUAAACAAAAAAACAGUUGAAGAAUUAAGAUCCUGAGGCUGUCAUUGAAAUUCAUCUUUGAGGCAAGGACUGUACAUUCUUGUGUGUAGUGUCGGCUCCAGCUGGUGCUUGCAGGCAGCCCCUGCCUCUGCGUGUCUCCCCGGCGUGUCCCGGGCUGGACGCCGCACCGACGGGCAUACAGAUAUACAAGGCAAACUAAAGGUUUCGAAUGCUAUUCAGUGCCUCCUCAUUUGUCCCGGAGCCUUAACAGUGGUGCCCUUUCUCUUCUGGCUGCUUUUCCCUGCUUCUGGAGCAGCAGUUAUGGGAGAAGCAGAU